rnacentral:lncRNA from 1 species
CAGACUCAUUUUCUAAACCCAUUCACAAUACAAACCUACUUUCUAAACUCAUUUUACGCAAAAUGGUAAAGAAAAUGCACCCAUCUAUUCGAAUUUGAAGACUUUUCACUCCACAGUAAACACUUUACCAUCCCACGAUUGAUAACCCACAUCCAGUCGGAGUACAUUUCAAGUUCAAUCUUCGAUGGUUCAUAUUUGGCUCCAACUUCUAAUCGAGGUAAAUAUCAAUUUCAUUUUCUUUUAGAUUUAAAUAUUUUGAAUAAUUUGUGCUUUAUUUUUGUUAUGGUUGAUUGCGAUUUGAAGUUGAGGGAAAAAUUCAUAUUUAAUUUAAUAAGUGACCAUAUUCAAGUUCCUAAAAAAAAAAUGAGAUUUUUAAUCAUUUCCCAUGUAAUGUUGGGUAAAAAAAUUUAGUUUGUUUGACUUUUUGUUUAUGAUAAACCUAGAUUUGUCCCCGUAUUUUUCUUCUUUUUUAUUUGGUAUUCGUAUUCUUUGAACUAGAUCUAUUUAUUUAAAUUUGAAACUGGGAUUAUUUAAUAUUUAAUAGCAUAUGUGCUUUGCUAAUGAAAAGCAAAAAUGGGUGAAAAAUAUAGUGCAUUCUUAUUUAUUGGAUUACAUUUAGGCUUGACUUCAAAGCAAGAAUAUAAGAAAAAUUAGUACGCUUUUGUUUAUUUUGGAUGUAUGGCUUUGACAAUUUUACUUGAUUUUGAAGUUUUACGAAUGAUUUCUUUCCAAAUAUGUUAUUGUUUUGGAUGUUAUCAUUAAACAAAAUUCUUGUUUUAUUAUGUUAUGAAUAUGGUUUUGAGUUUGUAUCAAAUUAGUCUCUGGAUCAGCUUAGUUGCAUUUAAACUUGUUCAUUUAUCUAUACAUUUUUAUAUUUUUUAUCGAGUCAUUAAUUCAAUUUUUGAUGAAUAAAAAGUUCUACUUGUUCCGUGAUUACGUUUUCUCAAAAACUUCAUUUUUCGGUUUGCAAGUACAAUAAUUGAGAUACAUAUGUCAGAAUCUUUUUUAUCUUUUAUUGACAGUAAUUUGUUGAAUUGAUUUAUGGUCAGUUUACAUUACCUUCGUGAAAAAAAAAAUUGAGUUUAAUUUAAAUGUAGGCUGAAUUUGUGAGUUGAUAUAAUUUUAAAUUUGAUGCAAUAUGAUUCAAUUUGAGGAUUCAAACAUCUUAUUCAUGUUAGCACAUGGAGAGUUCACAUGUAGUUCGUACGGGACCCGUCUAUCGACUAAACUAUCAUUAUUGACAGUUAUGUUCUGGAAUUCUUGACAAUUGGUUAUAGUUUCUUGACAGUUAUGAUUCAAUGUCAAACCUAUUUCAGUUGUUCUUCUACGUGGGUUACAAAGUAAAUGUAUUGCACAUCAUCGUGUGGCCUUCGGUAGUUGUUCAUUUUACUAAUUUUUACAUAUGAAUAUCAAAUUUGCUCUUGCAAAAGGUGAAUGUCCAUAUGCACACAUAUCUCAUCACAAAAAUUUAAAUUUCAUCAAGAUGAUUCUUGAUAAAUUCGAUGUGGAUCAAAAAAUGAAUUGUCAAUAUUCUUGUCUCGAGUCCUAGCAAAUUUUCCUGACAAUAGACAUCUCAUUUUUUGCAUAAAUGGACAAAAUCUAAUGUCAUUGGAGGAGUGCUAGAAGGGUACUUCAACGUCGUCUUCUAGUGAAGGAGUUGCCUCGAAGGCGCCCUCAAAUGCUACCGAUCCAAUUAAAAAUGAAGAAGUGAUGGUGAUAGAGAAAUGACGUUUGAUGCGAAUCCGAAUACCGUUUGAUUCUAAUUGAACUACGUACACUAGGAGAGGUAGGAAAAGAGGAAAAACAUGAAUUAAUUGAAAACAUUAUCAUCGCUUUUUGAAUGAUUGAAAAUAGUGAAACUUAGCAUUUUAUGAAGCUGAGGUAUGUAAUCUUUGUAAUUUGAUGAUGGAAAACAUUAAUUUCCCACCAAAAAUAUUUUGGCGCCUUACUUCCCUCAUAUUUUUAGCGACAAUCUUUAUUAUUUGUCGCAACUUCUUACAUUUCACGACAGCUUUUUAUGUCCCCUUAUAUUUUUUUGUACUUAUUUUUUUCAUCACAGUCUUUGCAACAAACUAUAAAAAUGUGUCGCAUUAAGUCACUUAUUGCGACAAUUUUUUGUACAUCACGAAAAAUCUUAGCACAAAAUCACAAUUUUGUUGUAGUGAUUGUAUAACUUAUUUUCGCAUCUGUGUAGUUAAUUUGUAAUUUGCAAAAAUAUAGUUGUUUAAUCGAUUGUGUAGCUUGAUUGUGU